CGUGUAGGCGGACUGAAAAGUCAGGUGUGAAAUCCCUGGGCUCAACCUAGGAACUGCAUUUGAAACUGCCAGUCUUGAGUGUCGGAGAGGGAAGCGGAAUUCCUGGUGUAGAGGUGAAAUUCGUAGAUAUCAGGAGGAACACCGGUGGCGAAGGCGGCUUCCUGGACGAUUACUGACGCUGAGACGCGAAAGCGUGGGGAGCAAACAGGAUUAGAUACCCUGGUAGUCC
rnacentral:rRNA from 1 species